rnacentral:rRNA from 1 species
AAAUUGAAGAGUUUGAUCAUGGCUCAGAUUGAACGCUGGCGGCAGGCCUAACACAUGCAAGUCGAACGGUAACAGGAAAUAGCUUGCUGUUUCGCUGACGAGUGGCGGACGGGUGAGUAAUGUCUGGGAAACUGCCUGAUGGAGGGGGAUAACUACUGGAAACGGUAGCUAAUACCGCAUAACGUCGCAAGACCAAAGAGGGGGACCUUCGGGCCUC